GUUCUAUAUUGCUAGAAGCAAGAUUACUGUUUAACUCAGCCUGGGUCCUGAAUUCCUGAAUCCGUUUUGCAAGUUUAUCUUGUUCAAUAUUAGAUAGCUCUUUUGAUUGUUGAGCAUAUGUUAAUACNNNNNNNNNGAAUAAAUGGCUCCAUUUGGCUAAAUAAGUCAUACCCCAGCUUAAAAUAUCUCAGGUGAGCAUCCAUAAUUGCACUUAUAGAUUCCAAGAACUCAUACUUCUUUUUCGUUUCAAUAUUCAUGAGU
rnacentral:misc_RNA from 1 species